rnacentral:rRNA from 1 species
GGUUAAGCGACUAAGCGUACACGGUGGAUGCCCUGGCAGUCAGAGGCGAUGAAGGACGUGCUAAUCUGCGAUAAGCGUCGGUAAGGUGAUAUGAACCGUUAUAACCGGCGAUUUCCGAAUGGGGAAACCCAGUGUGAUUCGUCACACUAUCAUUAACUGAAUCCAUAGGUUAAUGAGGCGAACCGGGGGAACUGAAACAUCUAAGUACCCCGAGGAAAAGAAAUCAACCGAGAUUCCCCCAGUAGCGGCGAGCGAACGGGGAGCAGCCCAGAGCCUGAAUCAGUGUGUGUGUUAGUGGAAGCGUCUGGAAAGGCGUGCGAUACAGGGUGACAGCCCCGUACACAAAAAUGCACAUACUGUGAGCUCGAUGAGUAGGGCGGGACACGUGGUAUCCUGUCUGAAUAUGGGGGGACCAUCCUCCAAGGCUAAAUACUCCUGACUGACCGAUAGUGAACCAGUACCGUGAGGGAAAGGCGAAAAGAACCCCGGCGAGGGGAGUGAAAAAGAACCUGAAACCGUGUACGUACAAGCAGUGGGAGCACGCUUAGGCGUGUGACUGCGUACCUUUUGUAUAAUGGGUCAGCGACUUAUAUUCUGUAGCAAGGUUAACCGAAUAGGGGAGCCGAAGGGAAACCGAGUCUUAACUGGGCGUUAAGUUGCAGGGUAUAGACCCGAAACCCGGUGAUCUAGCCAUGGGCAGGUUGAAGGUUGGGUAACACUAACUGGAGGACCGAACCGACUAAUGUUGAAAAAUUAGCGGAUGACUUGUGGCUGGGGGUGAAAGGCCAAUCAAACCGGGAGAUAGCUGGUUCUCCCCGAAAGCUAUUUAGGUAGCGCCUCGUGAAUUCAUCUCCGGGGGUAGAGCACUGUUUCGGCAAGGGGGUCAUCCCGACUUACCAACCCGAUGCAAACUGCGAAUACCGGAGAAUGUUAUCACGGGAGACACACGGCGGGUGCUAACGUCCGUCGUGAAGAGGGAAACAACCCAGACCGCCAGCUAAGGUCCCAAAGUCAUGGUUAAGUGGGAAACGAUGUGGGAAGGCCCAGACAGCCAGGAUGUUGGCUUAGAAGCAGCCAUCAUUUAAAGAAAGCGUAAUAGCUCACUGGUCGAGUCGGCCUGCGCGGAAGAUGUAACGGGGCUAAACCAUGCACCGAAGCUGCGGCAGCGACGCUUAUGCGUUGUUGGGUAGGGGAGCGUUCUGUAAGCCUGUGAAGGUGUGCUGUGAGGUAUGCUGGAGGUAUCAGAAGUGCGAAUGCUGACAUAAGUAACGAUAAAGCGGGUGAAAAGCCCGCUCGCCGGAAGACCAAGGGUUCCUGUCCAACGUUAAUCGGGGCAGGGUGAGUCGACCCCUAAGGCGAGGCCGAAAGGCGUAGUCGAUGGGAAACAGGUUAAUAUUCCUGUACUUGGUGUUACUGCGAAGGGGGGACGGAGAAGGCUAUGUUGGCCGGGCGACGGUUGUCCCGGUU